rnacentral:ncRNA from 1 species
CAAAUUCAAAAAGGAGAAAUGUGUUGGACAGUCACCCUUACUUAAACAUCAAGGCAAGCUGACGCUAUUUCCCCUGCGCUGCUUGCCAAAACGGCGGGCAGCAAUCUCC